rnacentral:rRNA from 2 species
CCUCGCGAGAGCAAGCGGACCUCAUAAAGUGCGUCGUAGUCCGGAUUGGAGUCUGCAACUCGACUCCAUGAAGUCGGAAUCGCUAGUAAUCGUGGAUCAGAAUGCCACGGUGAAUACGUUCCCGGGCCUUGUACACACCGCCCGUCACACCAUGGGAGUGGGUUGCAAAAGAAGUAGGUAGCUUAACCUUCGGGAGGGCGCUUACCACUUUGUGAUUCAUGACUGGGGUGAAGUCGUAACAAGGUAACCGUAGGGGAACCUGCGGUUGGAUCACCUCCUUACCUUAAAGAAGC